rnacentral:rRNA from 1 species
AGGAUAAACGCUGGCGGCGUGCCUAACACAUGCAAGUCGAACGUCUCUUCUUUCGGGAAGAGGAGUGGCGGACGGGUGAGGAACACGUGGGAACCUGCCCUUCAGUGAGGAAUACCGGCGAGAAAUCGCCGACAAGACCGCAUAGCCCUCUCUGGUGAGAGCCAGAGAAGGAAAGCCUCGCAAGUAGGCGCUGGAGGAGGGGCCUGCGUCCGAUUAGCUAGUUGGUGGGGUAAGAGCCUACCAAGGCGUCGAUCGGUAGCUGGUCUGAGAGGACGAUCAGCCACACUGGGAUUGAGAACGGCCCAGACUCCUACGGGGGGCAGCAGUGAGGAAUUUUCGGCAAUGGACGAAAGUCUGACCGAGCGACGCCGCGUGGAGGAUGACGCCUUUCGGGGUGUAAACUCCUUUUCUGCGGGAAGAUAAUGACGGUACCGCAGGAAUAAGCACCGGCUAACUACGUGCCAGCAGCCGC